ACUGUCAGUCGUACGCUUCUUUUUCCACCGGAGCUUGCUCCACCGGAAAAAGAAGAGUGGCGAACGGGUGAGUAACACGUGGGUAACCUGCCCAUCAGAAGGGGAUAACACUUGGAAACAGGUGCUAAUACCGUAUAACAAUCGAAACCGCAUGGUUUUGAUUUGAAAGGCGCUUUCGGGUGUCGCUGAUGGAUGGACCCGCGGUGCAUUAGCUAGUUGGUGAGGUAACGGCUCACCAAGGCCACGAUGCAUAGCCGACCUGAGAGGGUGAUCGGCCACAUUGGGACUGAGACACGGCCCAAACUCCUACGGGAGGCAGCAGUAGGGAAUCUUCGGCAAUGGACGAAAGUCUGACCGAGCAACGCCGCGUGAGUGAAGAAGGUUUUCGGAUCGUAAAACUCUGUUGUUAGAGAAGAACAAGGAUGAGAGUAACUGUUCAUCCCUUGACGGUAUCUAACCAGAAAGCCACGGCUAACUACGUGCCAGCAGCCGCGGUAAUACGUAGGUGGCAAGCGUUGUCCGGAUUUAUUGGGCGUAAAGCGAGCGCAGGCGGUUUCUUAAGUCUGAUGUGAAAGCCCCCGGCUCAACCGGGGAGGGUCAUUGGAAACUGGGGAGACUUGAGUGCAGAAGAGGAGAGUGGAAUUCCCAUGUGUAGCGGUGAAAUGCGUAAAUAUAUGGAGGAACACCAGUGGCGAACGCGGCCUCUCUGGUCUGUAACUGACGCUGAAGCUCCAAAG
rnacentral:rRNA from 1 species